GCAAAAUAUUCUUUCUUUUGUUUGGUUAUUGUUAGAAGUUUGACAAAAUGAAGUCGAUUACCAAGUCAUGUCACCAGUAGACAGGUACGAUGACCAGGUUUUGCGAACACAGAGCAGUCAAGACUCGUCUUUUAUUUUGAUUACUUGUUGUAAUGUCUUAUUACUAUGAAAGAACACACAUGUAUUAAACUAUUACUAUUAAUUCAAUGUACGAUGUUGUUGCUUGUUUACUA